GACGAACGCUGGCGGCGUGCCUAACACAUGCAAGUCAACUUGAGGGAAGGAGCAAUCUGACCUGAUGGUGGCGCAAGGGUGCGUAACGCGUAAGUAACUUGCCCAAGGUAAGGAAUAACGUCGAGAAAUCGGCGCUAAUACCUCAUAAUGCAGCGGAUCCGCAUGGAUAUGUUGUUAAAGGUUUACCGCCUUGGGAUAGGCUUGCGUCUGAUUAGCUAGUUGGUGUGGUAAUGGCACACCAAGGCUACGAUCAGUAACUGGUCUGAGAGGAUGAUCAGUCACACUGGAACUGAGACACGGUCCAGACUCCUACGGGAGCAGCAGUGAGGAAUAUUGGGCAAUGCACGGAAAGUGUGACCCAGCAACGCCGCGUGGAGGAUGAAGGUAUUCUAUAUCGUAAACUCCUGU
rnacentral:rRNA from 1 species